AUGCAGUCGAGCGGAGAUGAGGUGCUUGCACCUUAUCUUAGCGGCGGACGGGUGAGUAAUGCUUAGGAAUCUGCCUAUUAGUGGGGGACAACAUUCCGAAAGGAAUGCUAAUACCGCAUACGCCCUACGGGGGAAAGCAGGGGAUCUUCGGACCUUGCGCUAAUAGAUGAGCCUAAGUCGGAUUAGCUAGUUGGUGGGGUAAAGGCCUACCAAGGCGACGAUCUGUAGCGGGUCUGAGAGGAUGAUCCGCCACACUGGGACUGAGACACGGCCCAGACUCCUACGGGAGGCAGCAGUGGGGAAUAUUGGACAAUGGGCGGAAGCCUGAUCCAGCCAUGCCGCGUGUGUGAAGAAGGCCUUUUGGUUGUAAAGCACUUUAAGCGAGGAGGAGGCUACUUAGAUUAAUACUCUAGGAUAGUGGACGUUACUCGCAGAAUAAGCACCGGCUAACUCUGUGCCAGCAGCCGCGGUAAUACAGAGGGUGCGAGCGUUAAUCGGAUUUACUGGGCGUAAAGCGUGCGUAGGCGGCUGAUUAAGUCGGAUGUGAAAUCCCUGAGCUUAACUUAGGAUUUGCAUUCGAUACUGGUCAGCUAGAGUAUGGGAGAGGAUGGUAGAAUUCCAGGUGUAGCGGUGAAAUGCGUAGAGAUCUGGAGGAAUACCGAUGGCGAAGGCAGCCAUCUGGCCUAAUACUGACGCUGAGG
rnacentral:rRNA from 1 species